AAGAGGAACAUCGGCUAACUACCGCCACGUUCUGUGGCGAACGUCGAUGUCAGCACUUCCU
rnacentral:sRNA from 1 species